AUGGGCUGGGAAAUGGUUGCUGCGUAGCUGGGCCUGCUGUGGUCCUGCCUUGUACCAGCUAGCCUGACCUUGCCCUAGAUGAAAACCUGGCAGCCUCCUUUUUGGGGUCUGCCCUGUGCAGUAACAGGUGUGAGCAUUCUAGCAGCAGCUUGAUGGUCAUGUAUGAUACUGCAUACAGAU
ensembl:scaRNA small Cajal body-specific RNA 16